GAUGAACGCUGGCGGCGUGCCUAAUACAUGCAAGUCGAGCGAACGGACGAGAAGCUUGCUUUUCUGAUGUUAGCGGCGGACGGGUGAGUAACACGUGGAUAACCUACCUAUAAGACUGGGAUAACUUCGGGAAACCGGAGCUAAUACCGGAUAAUAUUUUGAACCGCAUGGUUCAAAAGUGAAAGACGGUCUUGCUGUCACUUAUAGAUGGAUCCGCGCUGCAUUAGCUAGUUGGUAAGGUAACGGCUUACCAAGGCAACGAUGCAUAGCCGACCUGAGAGGGUGAUCGGCCACACUGGAACUGAGACACGGUCCAGACUCCUACGGGAGACAGCAGUAGGGAAUCUGCCGCAAUGGGCGAAAGCCUGACGGAGCAACGCCGCGUGAGUGAUGAAGGUCUUCGGAUCGUAAAACUCUGUUAUUAGGGAAGAACAUAUGUGUAAGUAACUGUGCACAUCUUGACGGUACCUAAUCAGAAAGCCACGGCUAACUACGUG
rnacentral:rRNA from 1 species